CUAACUUUCCUAUUGAAAUUGGAAUUGAACCUGUGAAAUUGUUAUCAGACAAUGCAAGCUUAGAAGGAGAUUUUACCAACCCAAUUUCUUGGGAAAUGAAACUAGAGAGUUUGUUGUUGUAAAGGUGAAGAACGGAUAAGUUUGUCAAAUUUCCUAUUGAAGCUAAGAUUGGACUUGUGAAAUUGUUGUUAGACAAGUCAAGCUUAGAAGGAGAUCUUAGCAACCUAAUUUCUUGAGGAAUGGAACCAGAGAGUUUGUUGUUGUAAAGGUAUAGAACGGAUAAGUUUAUCAAAUUUCCUAUUGAAACUGGGAUUGAACUUGUGAAAUUGUUGUCAGACAGUGUAAGCUUAGAAAGAGAUCUUAGCAACCCAAUUUCUUGGGGAAUGGAACUAGAGAGUUUGUUGUUGUAAAGGUAAACAAAUCAUAAAUUUGUUAAAUUUCCUAUUGCAGCUAGAAUUGAACCCAUUAAAUUGUUGUCAGACAAUUCAAGGUCAGAAAGAGAUCUUAACAAUCCAAUUUCUUGGGGAAUGGAACUAGAGAGUUUGUUGUUGUAAAGAUAAAAAAAAGAUAAGUUUGUCAAAUUUCCUAUUGAAGCUGGGAUUGGACUUGUAAAAUUGUUAUCAGACAAUGCAAGCUUAGAAAGAGAUCUUAACAACCCAAUUUCUUGGGAAAUGGAACUAAAGAGUUUGUUGUUGUAAAGGUAAACAAACCAUAAAUUUGUCAAAUUUCCUAUUGAAGCUAUGAUUGAACCUAUUAAAUUGUUGUCAGACAAUUCAAGGUCAGAAAGAGAUCUUAACAACCCAAUUUCUUAGGGAAUGGAACUAGAAAGUUUGUUGUUGUAAAGGUAAAGAAAAGAUACAUUUGUCAAAUUUCCUAUUGAAGCUGGGAUUUGACUUUUG
rnacentral:lncRNA from 1 species